rnacentral:rRNA from 1 species
CAGAGGGGGCUAGCGUUGUUCGGAAUUACUGGGCGUAAAGGGCGCGUAGGUGGCCUGUUAAGUCGAACGUGAAAUCCCCGGGCUCAACCCGGGAACUGCGUCCGAGACUGGCAGGCUCGAAUCCGGGAGAGGGAUGUGGAAUUCCAGGUGUAGCGGUGAAAUGCGUAGAUAUCUGGAGGAACACCGGUGGCGAAGGCGGCAUCCUGGACCGGUAUUGACGCUGAGGCGCGAAAGCCAGGGGAGCGAACGGGAUUAGAUACCCCGGUAGUCCUGGCCCUAAACGAUGAAUGCUUGGUGUGGCGGGUAUCGAUCCCUGCCGUGCCGAAGCUAACGCAUUAAGCAUUCCGCCUGGGGAGUACGGUCGCAAGGCUG